rnacentral:rRNA from 1 species
GAUGAACGCUAGCGGGAGGCUUAACACAUGCAAGUCGAGCGGCAGCACGGACUUCGGUCUGGUGGCGAGCGGCGCACGGGUGCGUAACGCGUAUGCAACCUGCCUUAUACAGGGGGAUAGCCCAUGGAAACGUGGAUUAAUACCCCAUAACAUCAUGAAUUCGCAUGGAUUUAUGAUUAAAAUUUCGAUGGUAUAAGAUGGGCAUGCGUCUGAUUAGCUAGUUGGUGAGGUAACGGCUCACCAAGGCGACGAUCAGUAGGGGUUCUGAGAGGAUUAUCCCCCACACUGGUACGGAGACACGGACCAGACUCCUACGGGAGGCAGCAGUGAGGAAUAUUGGUCAAUGGGCGAGAGCCUGAACCAGCCAUCCCGCGUGCAGGAUGACGGCCCUAUGGGUUGUAAACUGCUUUUCUACGCCAAGAAACGGCCCUACGUGUAGGGCACUGACGGUAGCGUAGGAAUAAGCAUCGGCUAACUCCGUGCCAGCCGCCGCAGUAAAAC